UUGAGGGCUGCUGUUGUUAUGGACUUCAGCAGGGGAUAAAUGCUAGUUCACUGUAGUUGAGCAGAUCCUUAUGUAAGACAGCCUUUAAGUACUUACCUUGGCUCUUAACUGAAUUUAUCAUUUUGCAAAGCACGUGCAAGAGGCCUGUACCAGAAAUCCUAAGUUAGGUACAGGAUGCCAGCUGAAUGGAGAGUUUGCAAGCUGCUGUUCCUGUUCCUAUUUGAAAUUAAAUUUCAAACUGCAGUGUCUGCAUCAGCUUCAUCGUAAAGCUCCAGAUGUUGGGUUCAUCAUCUACAGAAGAAGUCAUGGUUAUACAAAUCAUUGUCAGUCUGUCUGGCAGCUUCACAAACCGUAUUGCAGAGAAGCCAAAAAUUAACCUGAAACCACUGUCAACUUUACUCUGAAGAGAUCUAAGGAAGAAUUGUAGUCAACUGAAUUUCUCUUAAAAAGUGUCAUCUGUCAAGCAAUACAAAACCAUUACUGAUCUGACUGCACUGAAAGUACAAAACUGAGUCUGAGGUUGAACAGCAUUUCAGAAUACUCUGCCAGUAGAGAAAAAGCCAAGGAAGAGGGUGACAGAGCAACAGAAGUACUGCUCCUGCCUCCAGUGCAGAUUAAGUAGAAAGUGAAUUGGUGCACCACUGGUUCUGGAGGAUGAAAGGUUUGCAAGAUGCAAGUGCUAUGAGCACCUAACUCAUAGCAGGGCUUUCACUGAUGUGUCUUCAGCUUAUCUGCUGCAUCUUUAACUAAUUGCAGGAUAGUUGUGAUCUGAAGAACUUGUAGGCAUCCAGAAGCAGCCACUUUGGCUUAAGUCUGCAGCUGUUUUUAAAACAUUUAUGAAUCUUGCUGACAAAGACUGAAUUUGCUCCAUGAGGGCCUUGCAGGCAAAAAUGUCUUUCCUUAACAUUGUCAUAUGAUGGAGAUACUAUGAAAAGGAUUUUUGUCUGGUUUUGCUUGUUUGCUUUUAAAAUAUACUCCCUUUAAUUAACUUUGGACUGGCACUGAGACAUGAGCUUUGGAAGUGCUUUUCUGUAUCAUUUUUGCACUACUAAGCCUACACAUUCUGGUAGCUUCUGAAAAUAUGAAAACUGCUGCUCUGUUCAUGUCUCCUGAUGGAAGCAUGCAGAAUCAGAAAGCACAAUGGUUUGUGGGAUUUGUGGCUUCUGAACUUUCAGUGAACUGUAAGGAAGUUAACUUAAGGAACUUAAAGAAAACAGGAAAAGUUUCCUCAAUCAUUGAAGGCCUAAGGAUAAGAUUUAAGUGCAAGUGAUGGUGUGGUUCUGCAGGCAACGUCAGGCUUUAUCUUUCCUGUAUUCUCAGUUACAGCAGUUUGAAAGGUUGAACCAUAGUCAGAAACAACUCAUGGAAGUGCAGGACCACUGGAAUGAGAAUUUGUAUUUUAGAUCAUCUGAACCAACGUGUUCUUAACCUGAGAAAAGGACAGAUACACUGUGGAAUAAUAGUAGUAGGACACAAGUAUGUUGAGAUCCCAGUCUUAUUUACAGUCACCAUUUAAAAAUUACUUAUAUUGUUUUAUAAAAGGAAAACGUUCUAGGAAUAUAUUAUAUGAUUUGACUCAUUGUUUUGUUGGAAAGGCAAGACAAACCAAGACCUAUAAUUCUGGUAGAGAAAACCCCAGUACAGCCUAAGCUGUAUCUAAGCCUCAUUCUAUAUCUAAUGCACUGUCAAGAUAUCCAAAUUCUUCAGAGAAUAGUCUCAGGAAUUAAUUACACACAUAGUUUGAAUGAUUUUGACUAUCAGUUGAAUAAAUCUCUCCAUAUAUUUGUAGUUGAAGAAUGAAAGAAUUUGCAUAUCCAUUAUUUCCAUAUAAUUCUCCUAUGUCAGAAGGCAAAAGGGCUUCAGUAAUAUAUGACAGUGCAGUCUGUACCCACACUCGGGAUUUGACUUACAAAAUUCAGUUCAAAAAGUCUACUCCAACUGACAUAAUUACAGUGGUGCGGGAUUUCUUCAUCUUUUGCAUCUUGGCUGAAUGUUUUUGUGGUUUCACAUUCUUUAUUCACUGAUGAUAUACUUUCCUUAACUUAUGAUGCCAAAUACGAAGCCUGCAUGCAAAGUGUUACAAGGGAAGUGACCAGCCUUGGCACCAGCCUUUUCUGACUUCCCCUCAGAUUGUACAUUCAUCAGAGCUUAAAAUAGCCAAACUCUCAAGCUGUGUAUAAAGCAAAAGAUAUUGCUUCUAAUGUGGUUUUGUUGCAGUUUCAAAACAAAACAAAAAUAACACCCCAACCCAAACACCAGUUGUUCUUUUUUCCUUAGUGGAACAUAAGAGCUUGCUGGGCUACCACUGUAACAGGUAGGAAGCUCAGUAAGCAGCAUUCUGCUCGGGCUGCUCAGGAGUCUCUGAAUGGCAUUGCAUUGGCCCUCACAAAUACGUAGGUCAACUCCCAGUCUACCUCUUAGUACUUGUUUUUAGAAUGUUUCUGAGCUCUUAUGGCUGAAUUCCCUCUUCUGUUCUUUCUACAAGAUGCCAGAGAUAGUGAUGAAUCUCACGUCAGUUAUCCUUCUUUUCUUUAUGAAAUUGAAGUACUGCAGUAUAAACUGCAUAGGUUGCUUGGGGAGUGAGGGAGUGGUUGUGGCUGAGCACUGGGGCUUUCAACAUCAUCUUCUGCUACAGUAAGAUGGACUGCCGCCAAGCAAGGCAACUGUGUGCUUUCUCUUCCUGGACUCCUCCUUUCAGCCCUUGCACUGCUUUUUGCCACUAUAAACAGGUAGGAAACAGCACAGUGAUCUACAUGGGGGAAUCGGUUUGCUUUGGAUUAAGGUCAAAAUAUUUUUGUCUACUUUCUGAGUAUGCUCUAAUAGAAUCAGUUCCCAGCUCCCUGCUCCUCUCUUUUGUAAAGGAGAGAAUAGUAGAAGGUGAGAACAAAUGGCUCUUUCUAGAGGGACUGAUUCUCUCAACAGCAACACCUGAUUCAGUUGACUGUGAAUGACAGUUUGAUUUCCAGCUAGCACAGUUCAACCUGUGCUGUCACUGCACACAAUGGGCUGUUCAGGGAACAGAAGCUGGGCUCAAACAGCCACUAGAGGGUCCUCCCUCCUCUGGCCGGCUGAAAAGGAACUCCGCAGAGUCUGUCUGAAGUUUGUGUUGAUGGGAGUUAGCUUGUGUGUCUUGAAUACAAAAAUCAGAAGUGAGCUUUUAUCCCUCAGUACUGAUUUUGGCUGAUUGUCUUUUAAAAGCUGCUGGUCCAGACUACUUUGGAAGUUUCCAGACAGUAGCUGAGAUUCUAUAGUGUUCUCCCCCAAGUCAGGCAAAAGAACAACCAGAAGAACUGGAGAAAUUCUGCUUCCCUUUACUGCAUCCCUGUGAUGAGAAGUCAUAUCUGGCCCUUUUGUGAUUCUUGCAGUAAUGAAUCAGUGACACGUGUGGCAAAGACCUCAGGAAAUGGCAUUCCACCAUGUUUCUCAUUCAUCUCUCUCCAGCUCUGGUGAUGAGCAGUCCCGAUACUGAGCAGCACCAGGGCUCCUCUUUCAGCCUCUCAAAGCCAGAGAAGCUGCACGGUGUGUGCAGGGGAUUUUCAUGCUCCCUCCUGCCUGCGGCCACAUUCCAAGAGUGCCAUGUUAGCACAUGACCUGAUCCGGCAGCGAAGAUUGAUUGGAGAAAGUGAAGGCCUGUCCUGGUAGACUCAGCCCUUCCUCUUGACUGCCUGCAGCAGAGUUGCAUCUGUCCUGGGAAAAACAAUGGCUUUUAAAAGAGAAUAUAUAUAUAAACGUAACUACAGACAGUUAAAAUUGUCUUCUUUGUACCUAUUGUCAAAGAUCCUAUUGUGACUUUUACCAGGCGAUGAGAAAAUUGCUCAUAAUCAUUCACUGAGGAAAAUAUAUUUCAGUAGCUAAUGAAAUGAAUGGAGAUGCCUCAUCUUAUCCCAAAUUGAACUCCCAUGGAAUUUCAAUAUCUUGUACUGUGUGGCAACUGCAUCUGGGCCCCUGUAUUUGUUGGAAAUAAUAGAAGACAAGAUAUGAGAGGUUCCACCUCAGCAAGGUUAACAAACCUGCUUUGACCUGCAGCAGGAGUUGAGAUGAAGAGGAAGAUAGUUCUGACUGCUGGAGGGCUUAAGAUCUCAAUCAGCCCUCACCCCUUUAAUUAGCAUGAAGCUGUUCAGGAGUUACAGCUUACAGCAUUGGGCCAUAGAAAGUCACAGGAAUAAUCAGCCUGCAACUGAUCAGGAAUUGGGUAAACACUACCCUGGGGCUCCGUGUGGUCACAGAUUUGGCAUUGCCUAAUCUGGCUCUGCAGCAUAAGCAGAAAAUUAUAAUGUAUUUGGCAACAUAAUGCAGCAAGAUGCAGUACAGUGUCUCACCGAGCUGAAAUGUAUUUCUCACAUACGAGAUCAUUAAAGGGUUAAACUGAAAGAAAAGCAAAACAAAAACAUCUCUUAAAAGGAGGAGGUUUACAGUUCUCUUUCCUAGGAUUGAAUCUUGACUCUGAUAUAUGUCAUUCGGUUUUAUCUUAACUGGAGAAAAAACAUUCCUCCUUUGUAGCACCUGUGUUUCAUUGCUAUAGGAGCCAGGAACGCCUAACAUCUCUGAGAACCUUUUCCCCGUUCCUGGGCAGAAGUCCAUAAAUCCUUCUGUGCCUUCAGUUGGUGUGAAAUCAGGAUAUUCCUGAAAGAAAAAAACGCUCAGAAAGAAAUCGUUCAGGAGGAAGGCUUCAGUUGCAUCAUGUGACAAUGUAUCAAUAUUCCACGUGGUAUAAAUACGAAUUUUGAACUUAAUAUGCUAAUGAAAACCAUAAUAAAUAGUCUAAAAAUAAGUCCAGUGAAAUGAUAGCUGAAAUAACAUACCCAGACAAACUAUCACCAAACAACAAAAAAACAACAGGAAACUCAAGGUGUUUGAGGAUUUUUACUGGAUUUUGAUAGAGUUGGAUUAGCCCUUGUAUUUGAGCCUUUUUGAGUUACA